CCUACGGUAGACAGCAGUGAGGAAUAUUGGUCAAUGGACGCAAGUCUGAACCAGCCAUGCCGCGUGCAGGAUGACGGCCCUAUGAGUUGUAAACUGCUUUUGUACGAGGGUAAACGCAGAUACGCGUAUCUGUCUGAAAGUACCGUACGAAUAAGGAUCGGCUAACUCCGUGCCAGCAGCCGCGGUAAUACGGAGGGUUCAAGCGUUAUCCGGAUUUAUUGGGUUUAAAGGGUGCGUAGGCGGUCGGAUAAGUUAGAGGUGAAAUGCCGAGGCUCAACUUCGGAAUUGCCUCUGAUACUGUUCGGCUAGAGAGUAGUUGCGGUAGGCGGAAUGUAUGGUGUAGCGGUGAAAUGCUUAGAGAUCAUACAGAACACCGAUUGCGAAGGCAGCUUACCAAGCUACUUCUGACGUUGAGGCACGAAAGCGUGGGUAGCAAACAGGAUUAGAUACCCGGGUAGUC
rnacentral:rRNA from 1 species